rnacentral:misc_RNA from 1 species
GCCUGACUAGAUUUAUUGGUUAUCUUCUCUUUUAAUGAGAUAAUCCUUUGUGAUAUUAAUUCUACGAAAAAUGAUAUGUACCGAAACAGAUGAAUUUUCUUUCAUUGAUAUUUGACAGAAUGAAUAAUGAGCAAGAUGCCCAAGAGAAGCCACCAGAAAUGAGCAUUGAUGAUAUUAACAUACUAUAUCUGAUACUGCUUAAUGAAAA